rnacentral:rRNA from 1 species
GUGGGGAAUUUUGGACAAUGGGCGAAAGCCUGAUCCAGCAAUGCCGCGUGUGUGAUGAAGGCCUUCGGGUUGUAAAGCACUUUUGGCGGGAACGAAAAGGACUGUGCCAAUACCACGGUUCGAUGACGGUACCCGCAGAAUAAGCACCGGCUAACUACGUGCCAGCAGCCGCGGUAAUACGUAGGGUGCAAGCGUUAAUCGGAAUUACUGGGCGUAAAGAGUGCGCAGGCGGUUUUGCAAGACCGAUGUGAAAUCCCCGGGCUUAACCUGGGAACUGCAUUGGUGACUGCAAGGCUAGAGUGUGUCAGAGGGAGGUGGAAUUCCGCAUGUAGCAGUGAAAUGCGUAGAUAUGCGGAGGAACACCGAUGGCGAAGGCAGCCUCCUGGGAUAACACUGACGCUCAUGCACGAAAGCGUGGGGAGCAA